GACGAACGCUGGCGGCGUGCUUAACACAUGCAAGUCGAACGGAAAGGCCCUGCUUUUGUUGGGUGCCCGUUUGGCGAACGCGUGAGUAACACGUGAGUAACCUGCCCUUGACAUUCUGAUAUCUUCAGGAAACUCGGGCUAUUACCCCAUAUGAGCUCCUGCUGCAUGGUGGUGGUUGGAAAGUUUCGGCGUUUGGGGAUGGACUCGCGGCUUAUCAGCUUGUUGGUGGGGUAGUGGCUUACCAAGGCUUUGACGGGUAGCCGGCCUGGGAGGGGGACCGGGGACCUGGCGACUGAGAUAGGGCCCAGAGUCCUAUGGUAGGCAGUGGGGGGGAACCUUGCAGAACAGGCGGGAGUCUGAUGCAGAAACGCUGGGUGCGGGAAGACCGCUUAUGAGUUGAGAACCGCUUUGUCCGGUGACAAACCGGGCGUGACGGUAAUGGAUAAAGAAGCAACGGCUAACUACGUG
rnacentral:rRNA from 1 species